rnacentral:rRNA from 1 species
CCUACGGGGAGCAGCAGUGGGGGAUAUUGCACAAUGGGGGAAACCCUGAUGCAGCGACGCCGCGUGGGUGAAGAAGCGCCUCGGCGCGUAAAGCCCUGUCAGCAGGGAAGAAAAUGACGGUACCUGAAGAAGAAGCCCCGGCUAACUACGUGCCAGCAGCCGCGGUAAUACGUAGGGGGCAAGCGUUAUCCGGAUUUACUGGGUGUAAAGGGGGCGCAGACGGCGAUGCAAGCCAGGAGUGAAAGCCCGGGGCCCAACCCCGGGACUGCUCUUGGAACUGCGUGGCUAGAGUGCAGGAGGGGCAGGCGGAAUUCCUGGUGUAGCGGUGAAAUGCGUAGAUAUCAGGAGGAACACCGGUGGCGAAGGCGGCCUGCUGGACUGCAACUGACGUUGAGGCCCGAAAGCGUGGGGAGCAAACAGGAUUAGAUACCCCAGUAGUA